AUAGUUUGAAAGAACUAUUC
rnacentral:misc_RNA from 1 species